UACAGAGGGUGCAAACGUUGUUCGGAAUUACUGGGCGUAAAGCGCACGUAGGCGGAUUGCUAAGUCAGGGGUGAAAUCCUGGAGCUCAACUCCAGAACUGCCUUUGAUACUGGCGAUCUUGAGUCCGGGAGAGGUGAGUGGAACUGCGAGUGUAGAGGUGAAAUUCGUAGAUAUUGGGAAGAACACCGGUGGCGAAGGCGGCGACCUGGUCCUUUUACUGACGCUGAGGCGCAAAAGCGUGGGGAGCAAACAGG
rnacentral:rRNA from 1 species